rnacentral:rRNA from 1 species
CCUACGGGAGGCUGCAGUGGGGAAUAUUGGACAAUGGGGGCAACCCUGAUCCAGCCAUGCCGCGUGUGUGAAGAAGGCCCUCGGGUUGUAAAGCACUUUCAGUGAGGAAGAACGCCUGGUGGUUAAUACCCAUCAGGAAAGACAUCACUCACAGAAGAAGCACCGGCUAACUCCGUGCCAGCAGCCGCGGUAAUACGGAGGGUGCGAGCGUUAAUCGGAAUUACUGGGCGUAAAGCGCGCGUAGGUGGCUUGAUAAGCCGGUUGUGAAAGCCCCAGGCUCAACCUGGGAACGGCAUCCGGAACUGUCAAGCUAGAGUGCAGGAGAGGAAGGUAGAAUUCCCGGUGUAGCGGUGAAAUGCGUAGAGAUCGGGAGGAAUACCAGUGGCGAAGGCGGCCUUCUGGACUGACACUGACACUGAGGUGCGAAAGCGUGGGUAGCAAACAGGAUUAGAUACCCUAGUAGUC